rnacentral:rRNA from 1 species
CGGAGGAUCCAAGCGUUAUCCGGAAUCAUUGGGUUUAAGGGUCCGUAGGCGGGUUUAUAAGUCAGUGGUGAAAGCCCAUCGCUCAACGAUGGAACGGCCAUUGAUACUGUAGAUCUUGAAUUAUUAGGAAGUAACUAGAAUAUGUAGUGUAGCGGUGAAAUGCUUAGAGAUUACAUGGAAUACCAAUUGCGAAGGCAGGUUACUACUAAUGGAUUGACGCUGAUGGACGAAAGCGUGGGUAGCGAACAGGAUUAGAUACCCUGGUAGUCCACGCCGUAAACGAUGGAUACUAGCUGUUCGGAGCAAUCUGAGUGGCUAAGCGAAAGUGAUAAGUAUCCCACCUGGGGAGUACGUUCGCAAGAAUG